rnacentral:lncRNA from 1 species
UCUUUGUCUCUCCUUUGUUCCUUCAUUACAAAAUCCUUUCUCACUCCGGGGUAAAUAGACGGGAGCAGUACAGAGGAACACACAAGAACCUUUUCAGUUCAAAAUGACCAGGU